UACAGAGGGGCAAGCGUUGUUCGGAAUUACUGGGCGUAAAGGGCGCGAUAGGCGGCAGAGUCAAGUCAGCUGUGAAAUCUCCGAGCUUAACUCGGAACGGUCAAGUGAUACUGUCGGACUAGAGUGUGGUAGGGGAGACUGGAAUUCCUGGUGUAGCGGUGAAAUGCGCAGAUAUCAGGAGGAACACCAAUGGCGAAGGCAGCACUCGUGGGACGUGACUGACGCUGAGACGCGAAAGCGUGGGGAGCAAACAGG
rnacentral:rRNA from 1 species